rnacentral:misc_RNA from 1 species
GAUGAAGAACGUAGCGAAAUGCGAUACUUGGUGUGAAUUGCAGAAUCCCGUGAACCAUCGAGUCUUUGAACGCAAGUUGCGCCCGAAGCCAUUAGGCCGAGGGCACGCCUGCCUGGGCGUCACACGUUGUUGCCCCCCCAUCUACUCCUUCGGGAUUGCGGGGGGCGGAUGAUGGCCUCUCGUGCGCCUCGUCGCGCGGUUGGCCUAAAUGCCAAGUCCUCGGCGACGCACGCCACGACAAUCGGUGGUUGCGAAACCUCGGUUGCCUGUCGUGUGCGGUCGUCGCGCAUCGAGGGCUCGAAAAAAUUGCCGGGCUUCGGCUCGACUUUCAACGCGACCCCAGGUCAGGCGGGGUUACCCGCUGAAUUUAAGCAUAUCAAUAAGCGGAGGA